CCAUGGGUUGAAAAGGCCUUCAAAGGAGCAGAAAGGGGUGAGAAAAACACAAAAUUUGAACAUUUUUGAAAAUCUGUACAUUUGAAUUCCUCAGAUGCGCGACUGUCCAGUAUUGGCACUGCGAGUUGCGCAUUUCACUGCUUCGCAUCGUCUGGGUUAACCCAUGGGUUGAAAAGGCCUUUAAAGGAGCAGAAAGGGGUGAGAAAAACACACAAUUUGUAAAUUUUACAAAUGUGCAUGCCUGGAUUCCUCAUUAUUAAGGGUAUUCUCAAACUACAAUCAAUAUCAGCUCAUGUCAGCUGAAAGCACACAUGUUCUUCUUUCCAAUAAGUCAAUGCAAUUUAUCUUUUUUUUUUUCCUAUAAGUAUUUAGCCAAAUAUGUAAAAUAAACGUUAUUAUUUUGUUUUUAUUUGCUUUAAAACUUUAAUAAGACUAUCAUUUUAUCUAUUAUUUCUACUUCUGACGAUGGCAAACGGAUGUUGGAUUUGGGAUUAGUUGAAUUCAGGUUAUUUCAACAAUACUGGUGCGCUGACAUUUUUAUGUUAGUUACUUAAAAAUAGCUUAAAUAUUUAAUUAAAAAUAAAUAGCAUGAGAUGUGUUUACUUUUUGCACAUGCACAAAAAAAAAAAAACUAAUUCACCAAAUGUGUAUACAGUAAGGUACAGUAACAUAUGUGGACUUGUUGGAAAGCUGGAAAUUUGUACUUUUAAAUGAUAUAUUUGAUUGUAUCUUACUAGUUCACCUACUUAUUACAUUAAAUAAAAAACAUUUAACUUUUUAAAAUUAGUCAGACUGCAAACAUAUGGAUUUCCACUGGAUAGCGCACUGACACACAAGUUAAACAGGUAAAGGGGGUUGGUAGUAUUUAGGCAAAUGUGUAAAUAAACAUUAUUAUUUUAUUUUUAUUUGCCUUAAAACUUUAAUAAGACUAUCCUUUUAUCCAUUAUUUCUACUUCUGACAAUGGCAAAUGGAUGUUGGAUUUGGGAAAGUGACUUCAACAAUAGUGCUUCGCUGACUUUUUUAUGAGCUCUUUGAAAAGCUAACAAUUAUAUGAUGCCAAAUCACUCAGUGAGAUGCAGACAACCCACAACUUUUUACCAUUAUUUCUACUUCUGAAAGCUUACAUGUACAGGUAAACUUGUUUCUGAUCAUCUAAUCUUUGCUGAAAGAUAGAGUGUAGAAGGCCCUCCACUGACACACACCAGCAUCUUCUCACCUUCAAACAAAAGAACAAAAGGGCCUCUGCUGGAUACAGGUCAUGUGACACUGAGGCCUCAGCUCAUCUGCAGCCAGACUCUAAGGGCCUACUCACACUAUGCCAUCCGUACCGUGCC